AGAAAUUUUUGGCGGUUUUUUCUUUUGGCCGUUAUGUCCAUAACCCAUUAAUACAAGGUUUUGAACAUUAUGAUAAACAUGGUUUUUAAACAAUAGGCUGGCAAGCUAUAUAUUGUUACCACAUGUCAGGGUGAUUUAAAAGAAGGGCUUAAUAGGGUUUUUCUCCUAUGUUAGUAUGCUGUAUCUGGAUGUGGCCCACAAUCAUCCCAUAUUACGUGUAUUUAUCAGUCAUAUCUGGGGUCCGAAAAUAGAAGAGAAACAAACAGGAAAAAAGAACAAGACAAGUAAAGCAUGGAUACGAUGGAAUCUAGCAUACACUCUGAUUAAAAACCCGAAUUUGAGAGAAUUAAGAGUACAUAAAAUACCUCAUGAUCAACUAUCUACGAUCGAUAUUGGAUUAAAUCAUGAACUAGGAAGUGUGGUAUAUUAUAAUAACAAUACUGAAAUUGAAUUGUUUUAAACUCAUCCGGUUUCAAGUUUUGGUUUUAGUUUUGAGUAAUAGAGGUGUUUGUUUGUUGGGGCCUUAAAAAACGCUUAAAGAUACAUUAUGGGAGAUCAGAUAAAGAGCUGGCAGUUCUCACUAUAAUAGUUAAAAACUAGAUAAUAUAAAGGCAAUUUGCUGUAAAUUUCAGUCAAAUUGAUCCACUCUGAACCAAGAUUUUUGUCGGUACGAUAAAAAAAACGAUUGUCAUUACUAAAGUCGGUACGAUAAAAACAUAGUCUCGAGUAUCCAUUUCAUGAUUAAAUCAUGAAUGAAAGCUGAGCAGCAAAUCGUAUCAUAAUCCAAUGAAUAUCGCAGGCUAGCGUUGACAUCGAGAGUUGCAUAUGGUCUGGAUAUGUUAAUUAAUGUCUAAUUAUAAAUUAAUACCUGCAAUAGGCAGAUUUAGCUCUUGCAUAAUGUAUGUUUAAUUAAUCUAUGACUAAAGAUUAUUUUAGAUAACUUAGCUGCUGUGGUGAUAGAUUUUGUUGCCUGAAUAUAUAUCUAUCUCUAAUUAAACAUACAUUAUUCAAGAGCUAAAUCUGCCUAUUGCAGGUAUUUCUUUAGGCCUGAAAUUUUAUCUAAAUUAUUAAUAAGACAUUUAUUAACAAAACAAGACCAUAAUCAACUCUUGAUGGCAUCGAAUACUCGAGAUUUUAACUAGAUUAUAACGGUUCACGAUUUAAAAAUUUAAUUUAAAAAUGGGAAAGCGAGGCUAAGUCACGAAUAUCCAGUACCCUGAUUACCACAAUGUACACAUCUUGUCAAAACUACAAACAGUGAUAACUUGGCUCAGAAUGAAGUAAUUUGAAUGAUAUUUUCAAUAUUUUCAUUUUACAUUAUCUAUUUUUGAGCUAUAUUAGCAAGAGUGAUCAGCUCUUUAUCUAAAUCUUACAUAAUGUAUCUUUAAGACAGUGAAUUAUUCCUUUUCAUUGUAUAAUUUGUUUUCAACACUGUCAAUUUCAUAGUAUUAUCUGUUUUCAACACUGUACAUUUGAUAGUAUUAUCUGUUUAACACUGUACAUUUGAUAGUAUUAUCUGUUUAACACUGUACAUUUGAUAGUAUUAUCUGUUUUCACAACUGUUCAUUUCAUAGUAUUAUCUGUUUUCACCACUGUGCAUUUCAUGGUACCAUCUGUUUUCACCACUGUGCAUUUCAUGGUACCAUCUGUUUUCACCACUGUGCAUUUCAUGGUACCAUCUGUUUUCACCACUGCAUAUUUGAUAUUAUAAUUAGUUUUCACCACUGCAUUUCAUAGUAGAAUUUGUUUCCAAAACUGCAUUUCAUAGUAUUUGUUUUCAACACUGCAUUUCAUAAUAUAAUCUGUUUUCAACACUGCGCAUUUCAUAGUAUUAUCUGUUUUCACAACUGUGCAUUUCAUAGUAUUAUCUGUUUUCACUGCUGUGCAUUUUAUGUUUUCAACACGGUGCAUUUCAAAGUGUAAUUUGUUUUAAUAAUUGGUUGUUUAGUUUUAUAUUUGUUAUCAUUAUUGUCUAGUUAAGACAUGUAAAAAUAUUAUUUUAUAAAUAAGCCAACCUUCAGGUUGUGAUUUUCCAUUUUCGAUCAGAAUGAAUACUGUUUAGUUUUAAACUAAUAUGUUGAUAAUUUUAUGUUGAAUCUGAAAGAACACGGUUUAAGUUCUAAAUUAAUUUGUUUAUAAUUUUAUUUCCAAUCUGUUUAGUUAGACAGUGCAUGAUAUUUUUAAUUUACAUGUAUUUUCUUUUAUUUGUUAUCUGAAUGAAUACUGUUUAUAAUUUUCUUCCAAUCUGAAUGAAUACGUUUUAUUUAGUUAUAAUGUGCAUAUUAUUGUGGCAUAUUUUAUUAUUUUCUUUUAUUUAAACUCUGAUCUGAAUGAAUACAGUUUAGUUUUAAACUAAUAUGUUUAUAAUUUUAUUUUCGAUCUGAAUAAAUGCUGUUUAGUUG